rnacentral:rRNA from 1 species
GAAGCCGCGAGGCGACGGGCGUUCUCGCCGGAUGUAGGAACCGACCCGGGGACCGCCGGGGCAACCCGGCGCCCCCGAGACGGGGCGAACCACGGUGAAAUGACGGAUCGUCGGCCCCGCGCCGGCGACUCGCCGAAUGAGUUUCUGACCUAUCAACUCGAGACGGCGGGGUAGAGGCCCGCCGCGGUAACGACGGGUAACGGGGAAUCAGGGUUCGAUUCCGGAGAAAAGGCCUGAGAGACGGCCAUUACUUCUAAGGAAGGCAGCAGGCGCGUAAAUUACCCAAUCCUAAUACGGGGAGGUAGUGACAAGAAAUAUUGAUAUUGGACCCAAAGGGUACAAUGAUUGAAAUGAGAACAAUAUAAAAAACUUAACGACUAACAAUUGGAGGGCAAGUCUGGUGCCAGCAGCCGCGGUAAUUCCAGCUCCAAGAGUGUAUAUUAAAGUUGUUGCAGU